UGGACUAUAUGGAACUGGCUGAGAUGACCGGCAGAAUUCGAGACCAGGGAGAAGGGUCGAUGGAAGAAGAUUGGAAAAAAUUCAAAAUAUACCUUCAAAAAUAUUGUAAUAUAAAAGACUGUUAGAAAGAGGUUGGAAAAUGAAAAUUAGGUCGUUUUGGUAGAUAUGAUAUAAAGGAUUAAGUAAAAUGAGUCGAUGAAAUUGACGAAACAGAGGAGGUUUAAUUACAUUAUUUUAAACUAAAAUAUGUAAAUGAAAAUAAGGUUAGAAGGACUUGCUGGAAAUACGAUCUGAACUAGAAUACAAAACUGGGAGGUGAGAGGAGGUCAUGGACAUAAGUAAAGGGAAAAGGCUAUGUAAAGGUUUAAUUUGUUUUUGUUUCAUUUUAACUUAAUGCAUUUUUAUACUUUUUGUUAAGUCUUCUUUUUUUAUUCUAUUUUAUUGUUUAUUUUUAUCUUUUUACUUUUCGCUUUGUUAAGGUUAAAUUUUUCUUUGUAUUUUGUAUGGUUUUUCUUUCUCUUUUUUGUAACUUUAAAUAUGGAAUAAAUAUCAUUU